rnacentral:rRNA from 1 species
UAAAGCCUACGGGGCGCAGCAGUGGGGAAUAUUGCACAAUGGGCGCAAGCCCGAUGCAGCGACGCCGCGUGAGCGAAGAAGUAUUUCGGUAUGUAAAGCUCUAUCAGCAGGGAAGAAAAUGACGGUACCUGACUAAGAAGCCCCGGCUAACUACGUGCCAGCAGCCGCGGUAAUACGUAGGGGGUAAGCGUUAUCCGGAUUUACUGGGUGUAAAGGGAGCGUAGACGGCGGUGCAAGCCAGAUGUGAAAGCCCGGGGCUCAACCCCGGGACUGCAUUUGGAACUGUGCUGCUAGAGUGUCGGAGG